CUUUUGGAUUUUUAGGUCUGAUUUUGUAAACAAAUAGGUUUUAAUAGAGGUGUAACUUGGGAGUAUGUAAGACAAAUCAGUCUCCUGAAAGGGGUCCAGUUGUCUGGAAAGAUUGAGAGCCACUGCACUAGGGGACAAGUGAAU